CGCCGCCCUUAAAGGCGCAGCAGCGCGGCGGGCGCGGGGCUCCGGGGUCCGCCGUCCCGCGGCCUGGCCGAGCCGGGGAAGGGCCACGGGUGCAGCAGAAACCCUGCAAGGAGCAGCUGAGGGAGCUGGCGUGUUUGUCCUGGAGAAAAGGAGGCUCGGGGGUGACCUUAUCACUCUCUACCACUGUGGCCAGCAGUAAUACAUCAUUCUUGAGACGUGCUGCCUUUUGAUGCUUCUCUAAAUGAAGGGUGACUGAAAUGAGAACAUCAAGGACAAGCAGAUAGUUCAGAACUGUUUCCUGUGAGACAAAUAGGAAAGGACUGGGAAUUAUUUCUUCUAUAACUGAUUGAGAAGAAAAUAGAAUUAUGAAUCUAGAGAGUUGCUGCAGAGAUGCUGCUGUGAUAGGAAAAGAAGUAAUUGGCUUUUAUUGCAAGAAGGAAGAUUCAGUUCAGCUACUGGAAAAUAAUGGGAAGGAUAUUUCUACAUGGACAGACAUCCCAUUCAAAGCUAGCAGAAUUUCUGAAAGUAGCCAUGAGUCAUAAUAACAUUUCUCAGAUGUAGUUUAAUUUAGUUACUUAGCACUGAUGUACAUCUGGAGAAAAAGACCCCUCUGUUUUAUAUGAAGCUAAUAGAUCUGAUUAUGAAGAUGUAGUGUGUUCAUAUAUCCCAAGAAAAAUGUUUAUUCUGUUUCAUAAGUGUGAUUUUCUUUCUAGUUGAUAAACAAGACCUCACGAUCUGGACACAAAAUCAGUUUUAAAAAAUCAAGAAAUUUAUCAUAUAUACAAUGAAAAUCCCACAAAUUUGAUCAAAAGAGAAGUCAAGCUUAAAUUUAUGUAUUAGUCCUUCUGUUCACUAUAAACACAUUAUUCCUUUGGCCAUUGCAUAGCCUUAUGGCACUUUAAUUUUAUUACAUAAAGUGGAGAUUAACGUUGAACAAUAGCAGAAUGUAAGCAGAAUACAAGUCCACAUGCCUUCCAGCCUACAUAGCAGUCAUGAUGUUGCUGAGAUUUUUCUAGCAAGUCCUGUAAAAUUUCUUUCAUCUAAAAUGAAGUUCAGUUUCAUAUUGGAAUAUAUGCCUAAUGCAGUGUAAGUUAUCUUCAUAAAGAAGCUUGUCAGCAGGAACUCAUAUGUCAAGAUAGGAAGGAAGAGAUCAAAGUAUUUAAAUGGAGCAAACGUCAUGUGUUGGCUGUGAGGUCUGCCUGUCCAAAGGAGAGGGAGGUCAGUACACAGAUAACGCUCUGCAGUAACCUGGAACAUGGGUGACCGUGGUCUGCAUCAGUCUUUCUCUUCACUCCAAAGGAGGAAGAUUCAAUAAUGGCACAUUAUGAAUUGGUGAGAGGAAUUAUAACGUCUCAAUGCAAAUGAAGAAGGAGGGUCUAAAUAUAGCAUGUGAAUUCAGCCACUUCAGUGCAAUUCUUUCAUCAAUCCUUCAUGCAAUUACAACUCCAAAGGAGAGGAAAAAUAAGACAAGGAUGUGAAUAUUCUGACUCCAUCUUGAAGAAUUCUUGCUUAGGAAUAUAUUUUGUUUGUCUUUUGAAGAUCCUCCACAUAGUCUUGGGGCUGGAAGAAACUGGCAAGAAGCUGUGCCAUGAAGAAAUGCAAGUAAUGGCCCUGAGAUGGGGUUAGUUGCCUAGAGCAUGGUGCUAUUUGUAGAGCAUGUAGGUUCAAUCCCUGUUACAGACUACUUAAUGAAGAGUUGGACUUGAUGAUUCUUGUGGGUCAUUUCCCACACAGAAAAAUUCUGUGAAUCACAAUGUCCAAGAUGCUGAUGGUGCUCUCAGCCAAACGGUAUCUUACAUGAGGAAAACAGACUGAAAUAUGGUAAGGUUGUGUAAAAGCUCUUUAAGGGCUAAGUAUUUUAUGUGGUAACUAUGGAUUUCAGCUCUUGAAGCAAGUCCAAAGCAUGCUUUACAGGGCUGUUUUACUCUCAUUAACCUAUUUUAGAUUUUUCCAUUGAGGGAGAGAUUCUUUGCCUUUAACCCAUCUGAAGAAUAUGUGAGAAGGAAUACCUGUUGUAUUUUAUUUCUGGUUUACUUCAGCAUGAAGGAGAUGGGUAGAUCUGGGUCAUAUAUGAUUUUUACAGUCCUGGCAAAACAACAAACUACUUUUAUAUGUAACUAGUGUGAAAUUUGAUCUCUUGCUUCUAUGUGGAGACUUUAAGAAUAAAAUGGAUGUGAAUUUGUUAAUUCAUUAACAUGUAAUUCUGUUAAUACUUAUUCAGAGAAUUAAAUAUUGUUGUUAUUCUGAACACAUAAAAACCUAUAAGCAAUGGUACUAAAUUAUCCAGAUACUGGGAGAUUCUUUCAAGUAAAACUGUUUAUCUUGUGAGCAAAAGGCACUGUCCAUUUGUGCUUAGAGCAAAUGAUUCUUAUUGGUGUUGAUCUUCAUUUUCACCCGGCUCAGCAGUUCAGCAUGCAUAUUAAUGCAUUGUCUUAGAACUGAGCCGUAGGCAAAAGUAAUGUUUUUCACACACUCACUGUUUUAAUGGCUAGCUUUCAGAAGACUGAGACACAUUACUGCAUACAAACAGGUAUUGGUAAAAGUCCAAACAAAUUCUGUGGUAUAUAAAUAGACUUCCGAUCUAAACAUUUUAACCUGGGUCCUACAAAAUCUUGCCUACAUUUCCUAAUACAAUUCUGCUGCAGGUGGAGAAGUACUGGUGUAUCUCUGCUGGAACCGUGGGCAGAAAACACCCAACAGAUUCAGUCUCUAGACAGUGAAGUACCGAGAGGUUUCAUUUUACCGCGUCAGCUGACUCGUAAUUCUCAAGGGAGAGGAGCAGACAGAAGUCACAACGUAUUCAGAUCUAACUUCUCUUUUGAAAACUGUACAUUGCUAUCUGAAUUAAUUCCCAAAUGUGAUUUUGCCUUUCUGCAUAUCUCACAUCCUUGUAGCAAAUUGUGUCUUGUGAAAAACAAAGAACAGAAACCUAACAACUGUGCCUGUUGUGCAGUAAAUUUUAAAAAUACUUAGUAAGAAAAUGCUGAAUUUCAGAUUUCCUGUGCACAUUUAUUUCAGCUUGCACGUGCUUGUAUAUUAUAAUGUGCUGGCCAAUUAUAUAACUCUACUGUAUAUUAUCCACUUGAGUACUAUAUCAGUCAGAAUUAAAUUUUCUUUCUCUUUACUUUCUAGUAAAGAAUUAUUGAUGCAUGUGGCCUCAUAUUUUUCUUAUGUUUUUUACUCACCACUUGACAAAUUCUGUCUGAGGACAGAAAUCUUUUUUUCUGGUCACAUAAUCUGACAUUUGCUUCUUCACAGAUACUAUACUGUGAAGAUACUAUACAUUUCUGUACAGAUACUAUAUUGUUUCUAAGAUUCUAUUAUACUAGUCAGUUCAUUUUCACAACAAUCCACUAGGAUGAGAGAUUAUUAUUGCUUUCUUUCAGAAGCAGGAAUGAGGCACAGAAAGUUAAAGGUCAAAGUAUUUAUUGAUUUUGGGCACCUAAUAUAAACCAGAAAGGAUUCUGUAAUAUUUAAUACCAAGUAGCUACUGGCCAGACCACUUUUAAUAUUUCCUGGAAGUAUAGCUCUCAGUGCCUAGCACUGCUGUAGGUCUUGACAUUCCAGCUCAGACCUGCUGUAGUGGAACAAACCAUGGGCUAAUGGCUUUUUCUGCUAGUCUUUCUCCCCACAUCUGGAGGUAAUAACUGCAGGGGUUUGUAUCGAGUAACAGAAGGCAUCAGUCCAACUGUUUCAAACAUGCAAGCAAUCAAUUCCGUAUUAGUUGGUACAAAAGGCAGAGCUGACAUGUGGCAGCCUCGUAUGCCAGCCAGCUUGGAGUUGGAAAGACAACUCCUAAUGAACUCACCCACACAUGAGAUGGGAACAUAAAGGGUAACAAUAUGUUGGAGGCAAGUGCAGCAACUACGUUUUGGAAGGCUCUAAUGGCUUUUU